rnacentral:rRNA from 1 species
UUGCACGGAAGUUCAGACUCGUAGCAGAUAGCUCAGUAACACGUGGCCAAACUACCCUAUGGAUCCGAAUAACCUCGGGAAACUGAGGCUAAUUCGGAAUACGAUUCACCGCCUGGAGUGGUGUGAAUCCGAAACGCUCCGGCGCCAUAGGAUGUGGCUGCGGCCGAUUAGGUAGACGGUGGGGUAACGGCCCACCGUGCCCAUAAUCGGUACGGGUUGUGAGAGCAAGAGCCCGGAGACGGUAUCUGAGACAAGAUACCGGGCCCUACGGGGCGCAGCAGGCGCGAAACCUUUACACUGCACGAAAGUGCGAUAAGGGGACUCCAAGUGCGAGGGCAUAUAGUCCUCGCUUUUUGCGACCGUAAGGUGGUCGCGGAAUAAGUGCUGGGCAAGACCGGUGCCAGCCGCCGCGGUAAUACCGGCAGCACGAGUGAUGACCGCUAUUAUUGGGCCUAAAGCGUCCGUAGCUGGCCGUGCAAGUCCAUCGGGAAAUCCGCGCGCUUAACGCGCGGGCGUCCGGUGGAAACUGCAUGGCUUGGGACCGGAAGACCAGAGGGGUACGUCCGGGGUAGGAGUGAAAUCCCGUAAUCCUGGACGGACCACCGGUGGCGAAAGCGCCUCUGGAAGACGGAUCCGACGGUGAGGGACGAAAGCUCGGGUCACGAACCGGAUUAGAUACCCGGGUAGUCCGAGCUGUAAA